CCGAUAUCGGAAUUUCAACCGUCCGGUGGAAUCUCGGAUGUCGAAAACCUCUAGAAGGGUAAAACCAGGUUUUUAUAAAAUGUUUUCAUGUAUUUUAAUGUUUUGAGCAUGAAAUUACAUGAGCUUUUGCAUGAAUAAUCUUUGGAGGAAAACCCAGGUUCGGCCGCCGAAAGUCAAGUUCGGCCGCCGAACAUGCAUGUGUUUUGGAGGCACGUUAGGCCUCCGAAAGCAUGAGUGAGGGAAGUCCAGGUUCGGCCGCCGAAAGUCAAGUUCGGCCGCCGAACAUUGCAUGGAUUCGGAGGCACAUUCGGCCCCCGAACGUGGCCUGGCCAGCCACCUAUAAAAAGGGGACAUAGCCGAAACGGGUGAGUUUUCUCCCAUUUUCGGCCACAGCUAGCUUCCAACCUCCCUCUCCCAAAUCUUUUGUUCUUCCUCCAAAUCCCCACCAUUUUUCUUAAGUUUUGAGCUUGCAUUGAAGGUUUUGAGCUUUUAAAACAAGUUUUGGAGCUUGGGAGACUCAGGAGCCCAUUUGCUUGGUCCGAGUUUAGGUCGUCUCUCUCUCGAUCUUCAAGAGGUAAGAGCCGAUCUUGAGCUCAAUGUAUGUUUUUAACAAGUUUUAAGUAGAUUUAUGGGGUAGAAAUGCAUGUUAGGGUUAUUUGAAUAUUUGGGUUUAUAUUAUGAUUUCGAACAAUGUGUGUUGAUUGUGUGUGUUUGAAGUGUUGUAGUUGGGGUAUAUGACUGUUUGAGACCCCUAGGAACUUGUAUGCAUGUUUUGGUUGAGAUUUAUGCAUGAUUUGAGGUUUUGGGAGGCAAGGGGUUCAUGUGAACCAAGUUUCUGCCCUUCUGGCAGAAACCAGGUUCGGCCGCCGAAGGGAGUUUCGGCCGCCGAACCCCCUUGUGGAGGCAGCAUUCGGCUGCCGAAGCUUGCCCCCGAAAGGAGACUUUCAUCUCUGUCUGGGACUUUCGGCCGCCGAAGGUGCCGCCGAAAGUGCCUGACUUUCGGCUCUGGAGGGACUUUCGGCCGCCGAACCUGCCGCCGAAAGUGCCCUGUCCAGCCAUUUCAUGCAUGUGUUUCUAUGAUUAUUUUAUGAUGUUCUAGGGGGUUUUUGGGGAGUUUAUUAGAGUUAUGUUUAUAUAUGUUUGGUCCUUCAUUGGAGUCCACCUGUGUAGGUUCGGACCCGAGGAACCGAGGACCCCAGCAGUGAGAUAGCUGCUUCAGAGUCUGUAGAGCUUCAGCCAAAGGUGAGUGGAAUAACCUUAAGUCUUUAAACAAACGAAAUAUAACUUUUGAGCACGUUCAUGCAUCAUAUAUGCCAUGUGAUAUUAUAGGGUGUUUGCAUUAGUUUUCACGAAUAUGUUGCAUUGCAUAAUUUGAUGUGGAUGUGGAUUGGUUAUUGAAUGAUCCUUUAGUCCUCUUAUGCUAUGAUAUGAUGAUGUUAUGGUAGAGAAAGACCAGUGAGNNN
rnacentral:lncRNA from 1 species